rnacentral:rRNA from 1 species
UUCCGGUUGAUCCUGCCAGACCUGACUGCUAUCGGAUUGAUACUAAGCCAUGCGAGUCUUUGUAGUAAUACAAGGCAGACGGCUCAGUAACACGUAGUCAACCUACCCUAUGGACGAGAAUAAUCUCGGGAAACUGAGCAUAAUUCUUGAUAGAUCAUAAUGCCUGGAAUGGUUUAUGGUUAAAAUGAUUCGUCGCCAUAGGAUAGGACUGCGGCCUAUCAGCUUGUUGGUGAGGUAAUGGCCCACCAAGGCGAUUACAGGUACGGGCUCUGAGAGGAGAAGCCCGGAGAUGGGUACUGAGACACGGACCCAGGCCCUAUGGGGCGCAGCAGGCGAGAAAACUUUGCAAUGUGCGAAAGCACGACAAGGUUAAUCCGAGUGAUUUCUGCUAAAGAAAUCUUUUGCCAGUCGUAAAACCGCUGGUGAAUAAGGGGUGGGCAAGUUCUGGUGCCAGCAGCCGCGGUAAU